AAAAGUCUCUAUCGAGGUUAAAGGUACCCGUACCGCAAACCGACACAGGUGGGUGAGGAGAGUAUCCUAAGGCCAGCGAGAGAACUGUUGUUAAGGAACUCGGCAAAAUGACCCCGUAACUUAGGGAUAAGGGGUGCCACCAUCAGGUGGCAGCAGAGAAUAGGCCCAAGCGACUGUUUACCAAAAACAUAGGUUUCUGCUAAGUCGCAAGACGAUGUAUAGGAGCUGACGCCUGCCCGGUGCUGGAAGGUUAAGGGGAUCUGUUAGAG
rnacentral:rRNA from 1 species